rnacentral:rRNA from 1 species
GUAGGUGGCAAGCGUUGUCCGGAAUUAUUGGGCGUAAAGCGCGCGCAGGGCGGUCCUUUAAGUCUGAUGUGAAAGCCCACGGCUCAACCGCGGAGGGUCAUUGGAAACUGGGGGACUUGAGUACAGAAGAGGAAAGCGGAAUUCCAAGUGUAGCGGUGAAAUGCGUAGAGAUUUGGAGGAACACCAGUGGCGAAGGCGGCUUUCUGGUCUGUAACUGACGCUGAGGCGCGAAAGCGUGGGGAGCAAACAGGAUUAGAUACCCUGGUAGUCCACGCCGUAAACGAUGAGUGCUAAGUGUUAGGGGGUUUCCGCCCCUUAGUGCUGCAGCUAACGCAUUAAGCACUCCGCCUGGGGAGUACGGCCGCAAGGCUG